AUUGAACGCUGGCGGCAUGCCUUACACAUGCAAGUCGAACGGCAGCACGGGUGCUUGCACCUGGUGGCGAGUGGCGAACGGGUGAGUAAUACAUCGGAACGUACCUUAUCGUGGGGGAUAACGCAGCGAAAGCUGUGCUAAUACCGCAUACGCCCUGAGGGGGAAAGCGGGGGAUCGCAAGACCUCGCGCGAUUAGAGCGGCCGAUGCCUGAUUAGCUUGUUGGUGGGGUAAAAGCCCACCAAGGCGACGAUCAGUAGCUGGUCUGAGAGGACGAUCCGCCACACUGGGACAGAGACACGGGCCAGACGCCUACGGGAGGCAGCAGUGGGGAAUUUUGGACAAUGUGGGCAACCCUGAUCAAGCAAUGCCGCGUGAGUGAAGAAGUCCUUCGGGUUGUAAAGCUCUUUUGUCAGGGAAGAAACACCGGCUCUAACACAGUCCGGGAAUGACGGUACCUGAAGAAUAAGCACCGGCUAACUACGUGCCAGCCGCCGCAGUAA
rnacentral:rRNA from 1 species